rnacentral:rRNA from 1 species
CUACGGGCCGCAGCAGUGAGGAAUCCUCCACAAUGGACGAAAGUCUGAUGGAGCGACACCGCGUGAAGGAUGAAGGUCUAACGAUUGUAUACUUCUUUUCUGAGGGAGCAUAAUGAGAGUACCUCAGGAAUAAGGGACGGCUAAAUACGUGCCAGCAGCCGCGGUAAUACGUAUGUCCCAAGCGUUACCCGGAAUUAUUGGGUGUAAAGGGUCCGUAGGUGGACUUUCAAGUCAGGUAUGAAAGACCGGAGCUCAACUCCGUGUUUGUGCUUGAAACUGUAAGUCUGGAAUCAGGGAGAGGUUACCGGAAUUCUAAGUGUAGGGGUGCAGUCCGUAGAUACUUAGAAGAACACCAAAAGCGAAGGCAGCUAACUGGAACUCGAUUGACGCUGAGGGACGAAAGCGUGGGGAGCAAAGAGGAUUAGAUACCCUUGUAGUC